AGGGGCGUAGCUCAAUUGGCUAGAGCGCCGGUCUCCAAAACCGGAGGUUGUAGGUUCGAGACCUACCGCCCCUGCCA
rnacentral:tRNA from 1 species